rnacentral:rRNA from 1 species
UGAGGAAUAUUGGUCAAUGGGGGCAACCCUGAACCAGCCAAGUCGCGUGAAGGAUGAAGGUCUUAUGGAUUGUAAACUUCUUUUAUACAGGAAUAAAUUGGGGGACGUGUCCCCUUUUGCAUGUACUGUAUGAAUAAGGAUCGGCUAACUCCGUGCCAGCAGCCGCGGUAAUACGGAGGAUCCGAGCGUUAUCCGGAUUUAUUGGGUUUAAAGGGUGCGCAGGCGGGAUGUUAAGUCGGCGGUGAAAUUUUGCAGCUCAACUGUAAAAAUGCCUUCGAAACUGGCUUCCUUGAAUGUAGAUGAAGUAGGCGGAAUUUGUGGUGUUGCGGUGAAAUGCUUAGAUAUCACGAGGAACUCCGAUUGCGCAGGCAGCUUACUAAACUACAACUGACGCUCAUGCACGAAGGCGUGGGGAUCAAACA